CUUGCCCUACGGGGCGCAGCAGUGAGGAAUAUUGGUCAAUGGUCGGGAGGCUGAACCAGCCAAGCCGCGUGAGGGAGGAAGGUACAGAGUAUCGUAAACCUCUUUUGUCAGGGAACAAAGACUGGGACGCGUCCCCGGAUGAGUGUACCUGAAGAAAAAGCAUCGGCUAACUCCGUGCCAGCAGCCGCGGUAAUACGGAGGAUGCGAGCGUUAUCUGGAUUUAUUGGGUUUAAAGGGUGCGCAGGCGGUCUGUUAAGUCAGCGGUCAAAGCCCGGGGCUCAACCCCGGCCCGCCGUUGAAACUGG
rnacentral:rRNA from 1 species